CUCAGCAAGCAAAGGCGGGCGAUGGCCCCGCUGUGGACUCCCCGCGUCUGGGUCGUCCUGAGGAGACACUCUCCAGGGUCCGCGCCGGAGAGGCAGGGACGAGCGCAGGCCAGGCGGUGCCGGUGCGUCCCGGGGCAGCGUGUUUCCGAGAGGCCGUUAGCAAGGAUCCGAGUCAGCAGGAUGCUCCGCGUGGGCUUUACAGUCCAGUUCAGGUUCCUUUGAAAAAGAUGCGUCUCCCCAUCCUUCAAGGUCCCAGGAGUCCCAUCAGGUUGAUGUCCCAGGAGACACACGACCCAGCUGCCUGCAGAAGCUCAGCAAUCCCUAAGGACUUGUUGGAAAUGGUUACCAUGAGACUUUCCUUCUUCACACACAACAAAGAAAAAAAAAUUAGAGUGGGGUAAUGGUGACCACUAUUACUUAGUAACAAAAUAAAGCAACCUUUAGUACUUUGUUUUAAAAAAUUUAUUUUAAAUGAAAAUAACCAAAGCAUAUUUGUUAAAUAUGAGGAAUGAGUAAUGUAGACACCCAGAGUUCUCAAGAAAGGAAAGGGGAAAUGUCCACAAAUUUUGCCUAAUGGUAAACAUCACCCAAAAUGCUUGUGAAAAAGGCACAUUCUCAUGUCCCACUCAGAAAAUGGGGAGAUUCUGCCAAAAGGACUAAGGGUCCAUAAUAUUAUAAAGGUACCACUGCUGUGAUUCCUAUGGUCAGGCAAGUGUGGGUAAAGCUGCCUUAGGCAGCGGUUCUCAGUGAAGCCACUGGAGGUGGUCAGUCAUAGCUGAAGGGCUCCUUAAAACUGGGUCCCUCUUUUAACACAGUUUCUUAUUCAGGCAUUUGGAGAGUGGCUGGAGGGUUUGCAUUUCUAGCAAGUCCCCAGGUGGUGCAAGAGCCACACAUUGAGAACCUCUGGUUUUUAGAGCAUAUUGUGAUGUCUGCUGUUGUGAUCUGCAAGCCUCAGGUGGCCUUGUGCCUAGGAGGCAUGUGACGCCUCCCGGGUCCUGCUGCUGUCUGUCCCAGAUCCUUCAGAACCUUCCUUAAGAAAAGAUUGCAGUGCUGUUUAUAGGACCGAUCCCAGCCUGGGACCUGAAAUCAGGAUGUCCUAUAGGAUAAAGAUACCCCCAGGAAAAGUGCCAGCUCUUGCCUGAACCCUGGAACACCCCCCAAAAGAUGGGUAUUUAAAGGACAAGGUCUAGCUGACCAUCACUCUUGGUUGCAGACAGAGGGGGAGGAGGGAGGCCACAGUCCCAAAAGACCUGGAGGGCCUCAGAAGCUCUUAGAUUCAGAGUCUAGAGAAGCCUAGAUUGCAGGCAGCAUCACCCACACUUCUUUUUUUUUUUUCCAGAAUGGGGUUGAGAGGAGUAUGAGAAAUAUAUUUCCUGGUCUGAAUAAGAUUUUUUUCCACAGAGGAGGUAGUUAGAAAAGAAGAUACAAAAUGGGCAUUUCUUUUUGGAUAUGUCUCCUUAAAGGAAGUCAGCAGAUCUUGCACAGAGAGAGAGGCCAUGUGAGAGCACAGUGAGAAGGUGAUCAUCCACAAGCCAAGAAGAGAGCCCUCACCAGAAACCACAUCCUAUCUGAACCCUGAUCUUGGAUUAUCCAACCUCCAUAACAGUGAGAAAACUAAUUUGUUGUUUAAACCAUGAGAUCUGUAGUAUUUUGUUAUGACAGCCUGAGCAAAAUAAUAUAGAUUUUGCUACUAUGGAGUUGGGUGCUGCUGUACUAAAUACCUAAAAACGUGGAAUCAGCUUUGGAACUUGGUAAUGAAUAGAGGGUGGAACAGUUUUGAGGUGUAUACUAAAAAAAGCCUAGAUUGCCAUGAAGGUACAGUUAGUAGAAAUUAUGGUAAUUCUGGUGAGAGCUUAGAAAGAAAAGAGAAAAGCUAGAGAGAAACCCUACAUCUUAGAGAAUACAUAAAUAAUCAUGAACAUACUAUUGGUAGAAAUAUGAACAUUAAAGCAAUUUUGGUGAGGGUUCAGAUGGAAAUGAAUAAAAAGUUACAAGAAACUGGAGGAAAGAAGAUCCUCAUCACAGAAUGGCGAAGAACUUCACUGAAUUGUGUUCUGCUGUUUUGUGGAAGGUACAUGUAAGCAAUAAACUUGUGCGUUAAGCAGAGGAGAUUUUUAAGCAAAGUAUUGAAGGUAUGAUUUGGGUCCUUCUAACUGCUUAUAGUAAAAUGCCAGGAGAGGGAGAUGAAUUGAAGAAAGCAUUGUUAAGCAAAAAAGAACCAGAACUUAAAGAUUUGGAACAUUCUCAGACUGUCCAUAUUGCAAAAAUGAGAAAGUGUGCUCUGAAGACAACACUAAGGAUGAGGCUAGACUAUUACCCGAUAAAGAGACUAUGAUAUUAGAUGAGCAGAAACACUAUAAGUUUGAACUAAAAGGAAUGGGCAUGUGAUGCUGCCAGACUUUUUGGAUUCUACAGGAUGAGACCACGAGAGCUAUUUGGCCACAAACAUGCACCAUCCUUCAAAGAAAGGCAAGAAUGACCCUGAGGACAAUUCAGAGAUCAUCAGGGCUGCCACUCUGGCCACAGGCCACCACAGGUAGAGCAAGGCUAUGUCUGUCUUGAUUUCAAAGGGUGGCACCGCCAUCAUGAUUUCAGCAGGCUGCUGUCCCCCUGAGCUGCAUAGGCUGGGCCUUCCCAACUCCUAUUGCCAAAAAGGAUUUUGGUUGUUAGACCACCCACUUCCCAGUCCUUUGGCUCUGGGAAGGUGCUUUUCCUGGAGCUUUUGUGUGUGUGCUGUUGGUGGUUCUGGGCUGGAGGUUCUGCAGUGCUCUGUUGGGGAUCUAUGGAAGGUCCUAAGAAACCCAGAAGAUUCAAUGCCACAUUGUCCUUCAAGUACCAAUGACCCAGGCAGCCUGCUUUCUUUGUUCUGCCUUUGAAGACUUCUCUGCCUGCUGUUGUGUUAUAUACAGGUUUUUUAGUUUUUUGAAGGAGCUUCUGGGAGGAAUGGGCUACUCCAUCUUGGCAGAAGCAGAAGUUUGUAUCGUCUUUGGAAGGUCAAAAAAUGUACUAAGGUGGUAGGUUGUAGGAAAUUGAUUACAGAUAGAGAGAAAUUUCAAGCAUGCAUGUGUGUCUUUUUUGAGUGUAUCUUCCAUUUCUGUAAUUUGGUUAUUUGCUGACAUUUCACAGUAAUUAUCUUUGAUUAUUACCUCUCUCUUCAGUGGUUGUUGUUGCUGAAAGAUUUUUUUGACUAUAACUCCGAGUUUCAAUGUCUUCGUCAACUUAUUUUAUCUGAACUAGUUAGAAAGUGGAACAGAAAAUGAAGGCAAGUAGCCAAUAAGACUUACUAUUCUUUAUCCAUUGCUCUCUAACAAUGUUUUCAACAAAUAAUCAUGAGGGAAGACAGAAAAUUGUAUCUCUGUGAGGAUGAUAUUUUUGAAUAAUCUAUUUAAUGUUCAAAGUGUUAUCUUGACAGCUGAAAUAGAAUUUCAUCAUUCAGAUGAUAAUCACAGAGCCCAGUAAAAUUUGGGGGAUGCUACCUGAGAUUUCAGAGAAGUUUCUCUCUGUGCCAGCUGGGAAUGUUAGCUGCAUUAGGGUCCCAUGCAAAGCAGAUCUCAGAAGAAUACUGGCUGGAAAGGAUAUCUGAAAUUUCAUUCUGUACUCAUUGGGGGCCGACAGAUGAGACCCUAAGGCUAACAUGAAAGAAAAAAUAUUUCUGUAAUUUUCAUAAUUAUUUUCUUUUUUACUUUAGG